GACGAACGCUGGCGGCGUGCUUAACACAUGCAAGUCGAACGGAAAGGCCCUGCUUUUGUGGGGUGCUCGUGUGUCGAACGGGUGAGUAACACGCGAGUAACCUGCCCUUGACUUUGGGAUAACUUCAGGAAACUGGGGCUAUUAUCGGAUAGGAGCUCCUGCUGCAUGUGGGGGGUUGGAAAGUUUCGGCGGUUGGGGAUGGACUCGCGGCUUAUCAGCUUGUUGGUGGGGUAGUGGCUUACCAAGGCUUUGACGGGUAGCCGGCCUGGGAGGGUGACCGGCCACAUUGGGACUGAGAUACGGCCCAGACGGCUACGGGCGGCAGCAGUGGGGAAUAUUGCACAAUGGGCGGAAGCCUGAUGCAGCAACGCCGCGUGCGGGAUGACGGCCUUCGGGUUGUAAACCGCUUUCGCCUGUGACGAAGCGUGAGUGACGGUAAUGGGUAAAGAAGCACCGGCUAACUACGUG
rnacentral:rRNA from 1 species